GACCCCAUGGGUUGUUUGGCAAUGUCUACUAUCACAAAAUGGGUGGAAGGCAGGGGUGUUGUCGAGUAUUCCACACUUCAUAGGGCAGUCUACUGUGACAAGAAGUAGCUCUGCCCUUACAGGCUAAUAGUUCCUAAGAUGAGAGUCUUUUCUUUGGAGGAAUACAACUAAUUCCCAGUGCACUGACUGAUGACCGAGAGACCUGAGAUGUGAAGACACUUGCAGACUCAUAGGUUUUACUUGUUCAAGUUGCCAGAUGCUGGUGGUUCUAAGGAAGGCAUUAUUUGAGCCCUGAAGACUGCAGCUGUGGAAGAUCUUGAAGGUGACACCUGGAGCCUGCUGCUGUCUGCACUCCCCACAGCUGGCCUGCAGAUCCUGCUAGAAGUUGAUCUGGCUGUGGAGCCUAAAGUUUGCCACCUGCUGUUAACCUAUUGCUUAUGAUCCAGUAUCUCCUCUCAACAUCAGUUGCAUGCAAGUUCAUUUUAAUGUAUUUUUUUUCCUUUCAGAUUAGUUAAAUGAGUACUUUCUAGCUGUAUUUGUGCUUAGGUGCAUUUCUUACCAAAUGGCAAUUAAAAUUUUAUCUAACUGUCUACUGCAAA